UACGUAGGGUGCAAGCGUUGUCCGGAAUUAUUGGGCGUAAAGAGCUCGUAGGCGGUUUGUCGCGUCGGAUGUGAAAACCCGGGGCUCAACCCCGGGCCUGCAUUCGAUACGGGCAGACUAGAGUUCGGUAGGGGAGUCUGGAAUUCCUGGUGUAGCGGUGAAAUGCGCAGAUAUCAGGAGGAACACCGGUGGCGAAGGCGGGACUCUGGGCAGAUACUGACGCUGAGGAGCGAAAGCGUGGGGAGCAAACAGG
rnacentral:rRNA from 1 species